AAUCAACGCUGGCGGCGUGCCUCAGACAUGCAAGUCGAACGAUUAAGACUUCCUUCGGGAAGUGCAUAAAGUGGCGCACGGGUGAGUAACACGUAAGUAAUCUACCCUCGAGUGGGGAAUAACGUUCGGAAACGGACGCUAAUACCGCAUAACGCAGCGGCACCGCAAGGUGACAGUUGUUAAAGGAGCAAUCCGCUUGAGGAGGAGCUUGCGGCAGAUUAGCUAGUUGGUAGGGUAAUGGCUUACCAAGGCUACGAUCUGUAUCCGGUCUAAGAGGACGGUCGGACACACUGACACUGAAUAACGGGUCAGACUCCUACGGGAGGCAGCAGUCGGGAAUUUGGGCAAUGGGCGAAAGCCUGACCCAGCAACGCCGCGUGAAGGAUGAAGUAUUUCGGUAUGUAAACUUCGAAAGAAUAGGAAGAAUAAAUAGACGGUACUAUUUAUAAGCUCCGGCUAACUACGUGCCAGCAGCCGCGGUAAU
rnacentral:rRNA from 1 species